ensembl:lncRNA
GAGAGAGAGAGAGAGAGAGAGAGAGAGAGGGAGGGAGGGAGAAAGAGAGAGAAAGGACCAUUUCCCUCUUUGUAGGGAGAACAAAACAAAGAGGAUUAAUGCUGAAAUGUUGAACCUUUUCCUGAUUAAACCCACAAGGGGAGAUCACAGCGAGGUCCAGAGUGAAGCAGCGGGAUUGCUGCAUUCUGUGUUGUUGUCAAUGGCGGCUAUUGUUGCUGUCAGCAGGUUGCAGUGAAAAAUGUGUAAAUGGUGCUCGAACCCUGAAAGACGACACAACUGCAGCCAUGGUUGCAUAUGAGAAAAACAAAACAUGUAAAUGAAAUUGAAGAGAAAAGGAGAUGAACAAGAAACGUCACAAAAUGAGGGAAAAGGCAUCAUGGAGAGAGGAGAGAGAAAAAAGAGGAGAGGAAGUUUGGUUUGGGUCGAGGAGUGCUUGAGCAUGUAGAGAGAGAGAGAGAGAGAGAGAGAGAGAGAGAGAGUGGGAUGAGGCAGAUGAGAAAGGAGUGAGCUACUAGGAAGUUGGUUACAGACACUGAUCUAUGGUAAGUUUUAUGUUUUCCCCUCUUAGUCCUAAAUGUUAGGAUUUAGGGAGAGGAAGCUGCUCGUAGAUCUGUGCCUAAGGGCAACUUCUACCCGGAGAUAAGAGGUUGAGGUUAAAGCACAAAGGGAAGAGGAUGACAUCAUUGUCUAGGGUUGCCUGCUGUGGGUUGAACUGGGAAAACAUGUAGGAAAAAAAGGCUAGACCAAAGGGCAUCCAGACAGUAAGUUACUUCCAAAUGGCACCCUAUUCCCUAUAUAGUGCAGUGCUUGGACCCUGGUCAAAAUAAGUACACUAUAUAGGGAAUAGGGUGCCAUUUGGGAUGCAUCCGGUGUUAUAGCCUACAGAAUGGGAGAUGGCAAGAUGAAUACAGACUUUCCUCAACCACCACCUGUAGAUAUAAAUAGGAAAGAAUAGUCAGCCGUUACAAUUUUAAAGACCAUGUGUGUCACCUUCAAAAUCUUGGCCUGAUAGUGUAUUUAUUUGAGUAACUUUCAAGUACAAUCCUAACUACCGGUACUAACAUUCUCUUUUCACAAAGGCCAUUUUCCAAACAGGGCCUUUUGUCAGGGAAACAUCCUGUUUGUGUGUCUUCUCGUG